CGAAAGCCUGACGGAGCAAUACCGCGUGAGGGAGGAAGGCUCUUGGGUUGUAAACCUCUUUUCUCAGGGAAUAAGUUCUGAAGGUACCUGAGGAAUAAGCAUCGGCUAACUCCGUGCCAGCAGCCGCGGUAAUACGGAGGAUGCAAGCGUUAUCCGGAAUGAUUGGGCGUAAAGCGUCCGCAGGUGGCGAUGUAAGUCUGCUGUUAAAGAGUGAGGCUCAACCUCAUAAGAGCAGUGGAAACUACAUGGCUAGAGUACGGUCGGGGUAGAAGGAAUUCCUGGUGUAGCGGUGAAAUGCGUAGAGAUCAGGAAGAACACCGGUGGCGAAAGCGUUCUGCUAGGCCUGUACUGACACUGAGGGACGAAAGCUAGGGGAGCG
rnacentral:rRNA from 1 species